rnacentral:rRNA from 1 species
AACGUAGGUGGCGAGCGUUAUCCGGAAUUACUGGGCGUAAAGCGCACGUAGGCGGAUUGUUAAGUCAGGGGUGAAAUCCUGGAGCUCAACUCCAGAACUGCCUUUGAUACUGGCGAUCUUGAGUCCGGGAGAGGUGAGUGGAACUGCGAGUGUAGAGGUGAAAUUCGUAGAUAUUCGCAAGAACACCAGUGGCGAAGGCGGCUCACUGGCCCGGUACUGACGCUGAGGUGCGAAAGCGUGGGGAGCAAACAGGG